CGGCGUGCUUAACACAUGCAAGUCGAACGGAAAGGCUCCAGCUUGCUGGGGUGCUCGAGUGGCGAACGGGUGAGUAACACGUAAGUGAUCUGCCCUGCACUGGGGGAUAAGCUUGGGAAACUGGGUCUAAUACCCUAUAGGACCGCAUCGUGGUUGGUGUGGUGGAAAGGUUUUUCUGGUGUGGGAUGAGCUUGCGGCCUAUCAGCUUGUUGGUGGGGUAAUGGCCUACCAAGGCGGCGACGGGUAGCCGGCCUGAGAGGGUGUGCGGCCACAUUGGGACUGAGAUACGGCCCAGACUCCUACGGGAGGCAGCAGUGGGGAAUUUUGCACAAUGGGCGGAAGCCUGAUGCAGCGACGCCGUGUGGGGGAUGAAGGCCUUCGGGUUGUAAACUCCUUUCGUCAGGGACGAAGUUUUUUUGACGGUACCUGGAUAAGAAGCACCGGCUAACUACGUGCCAGCAGCCGCGGUAAUACGUAGGGUGCGAGCGUUGUCCGGAUUUACUGGGCGUAAAGGGCUCGUAGGUGGUGUGUCGCGUCGUCUGUGUAAUCCAGGGGCUUAACUUUUGGUUGGCAGGCGAUACGGGCAUUGCUUGAGUGCUGUAGGGGAGACUGGAAUUCCUGGUGUAGCGGUGAAAUGCGCAGAUAUCAGGAGGAACACCGAUGGCGAAGGCAGGUCUCUGGGCAGUUACUGACGCUGAGGAGCGAGAGCAUGGGUAGCGAACAGGAUUAGAUACCCU
rnacentral:rRNA from 1 species